rnacentral:rRNA from 1 species
GACGAACGCUGGCGGCGUGCCUAAUACAUGCAAGUCGAACGCAGUGGGGACGGGUGAGUAACCCGUGGGUAACCUCCCAUCAGAGCGGAUAACACUUGGAAACAGGUGCUAAACCGACAAUGAUGGAUGGACGCGCGGUGCAUUAUCUAGUGGGUGGGGUAACGGCUGACCAAGGCCACGAUGCAUGGCCGAUCUGGGAGGGUGAUCGGCCACAAUGGGACUGAGACACGGCCCAGACUCCUACGGGAGGCAGCAGUAGGGAAUCUUCGGCAAUGGACGAAAGUCUGACCGAGCAACGCCGCGUGAGUGAAGAAGGUUUUCGGAUCGUAAAACUCUGUUGUUAGAGAAGCGGUAGCUAACCAGAAAGCCACGGCUAACUACGUGCCAGCAGCCGCGGUAAUUC